rnacentral:misc_RNA from 1 species
AUCGGAUGACGUGACGAUUUACGCAUCGAAAACAAUUUCUGAUUGGUCGUUUUCUCGGUUUUAUAUCGAGCAUCCUGAAAAUGUGACACGGUUCCUGCUAUUGGAUGACACCAUAAAUGAUGUCAUCUCGCCUCAGCUAUAAAGGAAGAACAAGUUUCACCCUAAACCUUUUAACCGUCAACAAGAGUUGAAGGGAUUCCAGAACAGGUUGCGAAAAAUUAUUUUAUUCAAUUAUGUUGGCGUAUUCCCUACAUUCGUUGACGCUGUUGCUCAUCUGUUUAAUGACGUCUACGCUGAUCCUCAAUUCCGAAAGGACUGUAAAUGGAAUGCAUCGAGUAUCGUAUUCAAAAAUUGGAAAUGCAGAAAACCCUUCGUUGAAUUUAUAUAGGAGAUGGAACUUCAUCCACCAAGAUAUCAAAACUAAAAGAGCAUUGUCGUUUCUGGCAUAUUGGAAAUCUCCCUCCGAAAAUACUUUUGUACAACCAGUUGCAAGUGAUGUUAACUCAAGACCGGUUGGCUUACCUUUUCGAUGGGGAUAAAUACUUCUAUUUUUUCAUGGCUGAACUUUUAGUUGACUGACGGAUGUGAUUUUAUCCCUACAUUUCUUACAUACGGUAGUUAAUUCGAACAUUUAAUUAUAUGUAUAGUUUUUAUUUAUAUGAGAAAACGAUGAACAAAUUAUAUGAACAGAUCAUUAUAUAGGCUAUAUAUUGAUAUAUAUAUAUAACUUAUAUACAUACAACGAUAGU